GACGAACGCUGGCGGCGUGCUUAACACAUGCAAGUCGAACGGUGAAGCGCCUUCCUUUUUGGUGGGUGUGGAUGAGUGGCGAACGGGUGAGUAACACGUGAGUAACCUGCCCCCUUCUUCUGGAUAACCGCAUGAAAGUGUGGCUAAUACGGGAUAUUCUGGGUCUGUCGCAUGAUGGGUCUGGGAAAGAUAUUGUUUCGGUGGGGGAUGGGCUCGCGGCCUAUCAGCUUGUUGGUGGGGUGAUGGCCUACCAAGGCGGUGACGGGUAGCCGGCCUGAGAGGGUGGACGGUCACACUGGGACUGAGACACGGCCCAGACUCCUACGGGAGGCAGCAGUGGGGAAUAUUGCACAAUGGGCGCAAGCCUGAUGCAGCGACGCCGCGUGAGGGAUGGAGGCCUUCGGUUUGUGAACCUCUUUCGCCAGUGAAGCAGGCCUGCCUCGUUUGUGGGUGGGUUGACGGUAGCUGGAUAAGAAGCGCCGGCUAACUACGUG
rnacentral:rRNA from 1 species